UGAUUAGUGGCGAACGGGUGAGUAACACGUGGGCAAUCUGCCCUUCACUCUGGGACAAGCCCUGGAAACGGGGUCUAAUACCGGAUAACACUCUGUCCCGCAUGGGACGGGGUUAAAAGCUCCGGCGGUGAAGGAUGAGCCCGCGGCCUAUCAGCUUGUUGGUGGGGUAAUGGCCUACCAAGGCGACGACGGGUAGCCGGCCUGAGAGGGCGACCGGCCACACUGGGACUGAGACACGGCCCAGACUCCUACGGGAGGCAGCAGUGGGGAAUAUUGCACAAUGGGCGAAAGCCUGAUGCAGCGACGCCGCGUGAGGGAUGACGGCCUUCGGGUUGUAAACCUCUUUCAGCAGGGAAGAAGCGAAAGUGACGGUACCUGCAGAAGAAGCGCCGGCUAACUACGUGCCAGCAGCCGCGGUAAUACGUAGGGCGCAAGCGUUGUCCGGAAUUAUUGGGCGUAAAGAGCUCGUAGGCGGCUUGUCACGUCGGAUGUGAAAGCCCGGGGCUUAACCCCGGGUCUGCAUUCGAUACGGGCUAGCUAGAGUGUGGUAGGGGAGAUCGGAAUUCCUGGUGUAGCGGUGAAAUGCGCAGAUAUCAGGAGGAACACCGGUGGCGAAGCGGAUCUCUGGGCCAUUACUGACGCUGAGGAGCGAAAGCGUGG
rnacentral:rRNA from 1 species